CCAAGGGCCCCCCGCAUCGGGGUGGGGGGCGGGGGGGGGGGACGGUAGCAGGCGCAGGAACCGAGAGGGCAGAAGGCAAGGAGGGAUUAAGGCGCCCAGCCUCUGUGGAUCCCACAGAUGCCAGGCAGCAACUGCUUUCCCCGUUUCGUUCCGGUGAACAGAGAAAGGAAAAGAAGAUCCUUUGCCUCCCACCGAGAUAAAAAGGAAGGCGUUCCGACAGAACUCUUCACAGAACUCUUCACCAUCGCCAUCAUCAUCAUCUGCUUUUCUUCUGCUUCGGCGUCAUCCCUUUCUUUUCCUGAUUACAAAAUUCAUACAGGUAAUACAGAAAAGAAAAUGCAGAAAAGCACAAAGAAGAAACUAGAAAACAUUUGUAAUCCUACCAUCUAGAGUUUUUUGGCCCUGAGGCAUGCGUGUGGGUCUCAGCUCUUUGACCAGCUCUGGGAGCAUCUGAAAGAAGUAUUCAUGAUAGGAGAUCCUUCCAUGUAAAACAGGACCAAGAGAAAAUCUACUAGG
ensembl:lncRNA